CCGGUAGGGGCCAGCAGGUUGAUGUAGGGGCCAGUAGGUUGAUGUAGGGGCCAGUAGGUUGAUGUAGGGGCCAGUAGGUUGAUGUAGGGACCAGUAGGUUGAUGUAGGGGCCAGUAGGUUGAUGUAGAGACCGGUAGGGGCCAGCAGGUUGAUGUAGGGGCCAGUAGGUUGAUGUAGGGGCCAGUAGGUUGAUGUAGGGGCCAGUAGGUUGAUGUAGGGGCCGGUAGGGGCCAGCAGGUUGAUGUAGGGGCCAGUAGGUUGAUGUAGAGACUGGUAGGGGCCAGUAUGUGUAGGGGCCGGUAGGGGCCAGUUUCUGGGCUGGGCGGUGUAGUGCCAGGCGGUAGCUACAAGUACUCUAGGUCCAGAGCAUGGUGGAGGGCCAUGAGGUCAGAGUG